AGAGUUUGAUCCUGGCUCAGAAGAACGCUGGCGGCAGGCCUCAAACAUGCAAGUCUAGGGGGGUAGCAAUACAUCACCGGCGGACGGGUGCGUAACGGNGGAAUGUACCUAUUGGUUCGGAACAACUGAGGGAAACUUCAGCUAAUACCGAAUGUCCCUUACGGGGAAAGAUUUAUCGCCAAUGGAUCAGCCCGCGUCCGAUUAGCUAGUUGGUGGGGUAAUGGCUCACCAAGGCUCCGAUCGGUAGCUGUUCUGAGAGGAAGAUCAGCCACACUGGGACUGAGACACGGCCCAGACUCCUACGGGAGGCAGCAGUUGGAAUCUUGGACAAUGGGGGAACCCUGACCAGCCAUGCCGCGUGAGGAUGAANNNCUUCGGGUUGUAAAACUCUUUNNNNCCGACGAUAAUGACGGUAGUGCGAGAAGAAGCUCCGCUAACUUCGUGCCAGCAGCCGCGGUAAUACGAAGGGGGCUAGCGUUGUUCGGAAUUACUGGGCGUAAANNGGCGCAGGCGGUCUUCCAAGCCAGUGGUGAAAGCCCGGAGCUCAACUCCGGAAUNNCCAUUGAAACUGUUGGCUGGAGUAUGAGAGAGGUGAGUGGAAUUCCCAGUGUAGAGGUGAAAUUCGUAGAUAUUGGGAAGAACCCGGUGGCGAAGCGGCUCCUGGCUCAUUCUNNGCUCANNNGCGACAGCGUGGGGAUCAAACAGGAUUAGAUACCCUAGUAGUCC
rnacentral:rRNA from 1 species